rnacentral:rRNA from 1 species
CAGUCGCCGCGGGAAUACAGAGGGUGCAAGCGUUAAUCGGAAUUACUGGGCGUAAAGCGCGCGUAGGUGGUUUGUUAAGUUGAAUGUGAAAUCCCCGGGCUCAACCUGGGAACUGCAUCCAAAACUGGCAAGCUAGAGUAGGGCAGAGGGUGGUGGAAUUUCCUGUGUAGCGGUGAAAUGCGUAGAUAUAGGAAGGAACACCAGUGGCGAAGGCGACCACCUGGGCUCAUACUGACACUGAGGUGCGAAAGCGUGGGGAGCAAACAGGAUUAGAUACCCGGGUAGUCCCUGUCUCUUAUAC